rnacentral:tRNA from 1 species
GCCCCCAUAGGCUAAUGGAUAAACCUUCUGACUACGGAUCAGAUAUUAGAGGUUCGAAUCCUCUUGGGGGUA